rnacentral:rRNA from 1 species
CAGUGACCAAUUUAACGGCCGCGGUACCCUAACCGUGCAAAGGUAGCAUAAUCACUUGUUUCUUAAAUGGGGACUAGUAUCAAUGGCAUCACGAAGACUACACUGUCUCCCCUUUAAAAUCAAUGAAACUGAUCCCCUCGUGAAGAAGCGAGGAUAUAAAUAUAAGACGAGAAGACCCCAUGGAGCUUUAAACGAACUUCAAUUGCUCCCCUCCUUACCAUAUAAGUUGAGCACUAAUGAUAGGUAGUUUUCGGUUGGGGCGACCGCGGAGUAAAACAAAACCUCCACAAUGAAUGUAAUAAAUACUAAUAAAAGAACCACAAUUCUAAUAAUCAAAAAUUUGACAUAAAUUGACCCAAACACUUGAUCAAUGAACCAAGUUACCCUGGGGAUAACAGCGCAAUCCAUUUUAAGAGCCCUUAUCGACAAAUGGGUUUACGACCUCCAUGUUGGAUCAGGGUAUCCCAGUGGUGCAGCCGCUACUAAUGGUUCGUUUG